rnacentral:lncRNA from 1 species
ACAGCAGGAAACUGCACCAGCUAGACUCGUCGGUGACCACGUACUCUUCUUUUCCUUCAUUAUUGUAGAAGAAUGCUUCCACCUAAAGCCAACCCCUACUUUUACUAGAUUUCCCAUCCCUCCGGCCAUCUCAAAGACACUGCUUUUUCCUAUACCAUCAAAUUUUCCCUCUCAACCGGGCGUAGUGGCUCACGCCUGUAAUCUCAACACUUUGGGAGGCUUGACGGGUGGAUCACUUGAGGUCAGGAGUCCGAGACCAGCGAAACCCCCAUCUCUACUAAAAAUACAAAAUUAGCCGGGCGUGGUGGCUGACGCACGCCUGUAAUCCCAGCUACUCGGGAGGCUGAGGCAGCAGAAGCUCUUGAAUCCGGGAGACGAAGGUCGCGCCAUUGCGCUCCAGCCUGGGCAACAAUAGCAAAACUCCAUCUCAAAAAAAAAAAAAAAAAAAAAAAAUCCCGCUCUACUUGAUUUUUCUCUUCAGCCUACAGACACUAAUUUCCCCCAAUUUAGAAGCAAGACAACAAAAGCUAUCUUGACCCCACACGCCUGUCCAGCUACCACUCAAUUUCUCUACUCCCUUCUACAGCAAACAGAGCAAGUUAUCCAAUUCCAUCUUCCCACUCUCCUUUGGACCCUUUCUAAUCAGGUGUCCACCGCCCCCAUCAAAGCUGCCCUUGUUAAGGUUGCCGAAUGAUCAUCACAUUGCUAAAUCU